GUUGACCCUGGCCACCCUGCCUAGCAGAAUUGUGCUUCAGGCUCAUGGGCGACCUCCAGUCUCCCGGUCUACCACGGAGCCCCUGGCUUCCUUCCCACAUCAGGAAUGUUGUGAACAUCUGCCCCCAUUCAGCCUCAUCAUCCUCACUCUGGAAGGUAGACUGGACCCCAUUAACUUACGAAGAGAGCAACGGAAACGAGGGAAGAAGCGCAUCAGUCCCUCCCACCGCAUCUACGCUGUCUUCUCUCUCCUCCAAGCCCAGAGGAAUGCAGGUGAGGACUCUUCUGUAUGGAAUGAGCACGUUCCACUAACUGAAAACUGCUUUCCGCCCUGGCUACACCUACCUCACUGUACGAGCGUGCUACGAGAAGUCAGCUGUCCAUGAUAAGGGCUAAAUCUGUAAGUUGGAAUCCCUUCACCCUUAUUACCAAGCAGAUAAACCACACUAGGAGUUUUGGCUUAUUUUUCAAAAUCACCUUCUACCUAGGUUCCAGAGGACCCAGUGGAAGCCAGGGUUCUCCCCGAAUCUGCUGUACCCGGGAGACUGCUGGUUCUCUCCAUGGCGAAACCUCUGUGCUGUGACGCCUUGAACUGGACUCGAAUGCACCUUCUGACCACCAGUUCCUACGCCAACCAGGCAUCUCGUCUCUAAGACUAAAGGGAACACCGUCCUACUGUCGCCGCGCGCGUCAUUAGACCCUCUCACAAAAUAGACAAGCGUACAAACGUGAAAGUCGUAACUCAUUUAUUGAAUGAAUAGUAUAUGCAAGGAUACCAAUAAAAGGAAACUAAUACUACA
rnacentral:lncRNA from 1 species